AGGUGAUCCAGCCGCAGGUUCUCCUACGGCUACCUUGUUACGACUUCACCCUAAUCAUCUGUCCCACCUUAGGCGGCUGGUUCCUAAAAGGUUACCCCACCGACUUUGGGUGUUACAAACUCUCAUGGUGUGACGGGCGGUGUGUACAAGGCCCGGGAACGUAUUCACCGCGGCAUGCUGAUCCGCGAUUACUAGCGAUUCCGACUUCAUGUAGGCGAGUUGCAGCCUACAAUCCGAACUGAGAAUGGCUUUAAGAGAUUAGCUUACUCUCGCGAGUUCGCAACUCGUUGUACCAUCCAUUGUAGCACGUGUGUAGCCCAGGUCAUAAGGGGCAUGAUGAUUUGACGUCAUCCCCACCUUCCUCCGGUUUGUCACCGGCAGUCUCACCAGAGUGCCCAACUUAAUGCUGGCAACUGAUAAUAAGGGUUGCGCUCGUUGCGGGACUUAACCCAACAUCUCACGACACGAGCUGACGACAACCAUGCACCACCUGUAUCCAUGUCCCCGAAGGGAACGUCUAAUCUCUUAGAUUUGCAUAGUAUGUCAAGACCUGGUAAGGUUCUUCGCGUAGCUUCGAAUUAAACCACAUGCUCCACCGCUUGUGCGGGCCCCCGUCAAUUCCUUUGAGUUUCAGCCUUGCGGCCGUACUCCCCAGGCGGAAUGCUUAAUGCGUUAGCUGCAGCACUGAAGGGCGGAAACCCUCCAACACUUAGCAUUCAUCGUUUACGGUAUGGACUACCAGGGUAUCUAAUCCUGUUUGCUACCCAUACUUUCGAGCCUCAGCGUCAGUUACAGACCAGACAGCCGCCUUCGCCACUGGUGUUCUUCCAUAUAUCUACGCAUUUCACCGCUACACAUGGAGUUCCACUGUCCUCUUCUGCACUCAAGUUUCCCAGUUUCCGAUGCACUUCUUCGGUUGAGCCGAAGGCUUUCACAUCAGACUUAAAAAACCGCCUGCGCUCGCUUUACGCCCAAUAAAUCCGGACAACGCUUGCCACCUACGUAUUACCGCGGCUGCUGGCACGUAGUUAGCCGUGGCUUUCUGGUUAAAUACCGUCAAUACCUGAACAGUUACUCUCAGAUAUGUUCUUCUUUAACAACAGAGUUUUACGAGCCGAAACCCUUCUUCACUCACGCGGCGUUGCUCCAUCAGACUUUCGUCCAUUGUGGAAGAUUCCCUACUGCUGCCUCCCGUAGGAGUUUGGGCCGUGUCUCAGUCCCAAUGUGGCCGAUUACCCUCUCAGGUCGGCUACGUAUCAUUGCCAUGGUGAGCCGUUACCCCACCAUCUAGCUAAUACGCCGCGGGACCAUCCAAAAGUGAUAGCCGAAGCCAUCUUUCAAGCUCGGACCAUGCGGUCCAAGUUGUUAUGCGGUAUUAGCAUCUGUUUCCAGGUGUUAUCCCCCGCUUCUGGGCAGGUUUCCCACGUGUUACUCACCAGUUCGCCACUCACUCAAAUGUAAAUCAUGAUGCAAGCACCAAUCAAUACCAGAGUUCGUUCGACUUGCAUGUAUUAGGCACGCCGCCAGCGUUCGUCCUGAGCCAGGAUCAAACUCU
rnacentral:rRNA from 1 species